GACGAACGCUGGCGGCGUGCUUAACACAUGCAAGUCGAACGGAAAGGCCCUUCUUUUGUGGGGUGCUCGAGUGGCGAACGGGUGAGUAACACGUGAGUAACCUGCCCUUGACUUUGGGAUAACUUCAGGAAACUGGGGCUAAUACCGGAUAGGAGCUCCUGCUGCAUGGUGGGGGUUGGAAAGUUUCGGCGGUUGGGGAUGGACUCGCGGCUUAUCAGCUUGUUGGUGGGGUAGUGGCUUACCAAGGCUUUGACGGGUAGCCGGCCUGAGAGGGUGACCGGCCACAUUGGGACAGAGAUACGGCCCAGACUCCUACGGGAGGCAGCAGUGGGGAAUAUUGCACAAUGGGCGGAAGCCUGAUGCAGCAACGCCGCGUGAGGGAUGACGGCCUUCGGGUUGUAAACCGCUUUCGCCUGUGACGAAGCGUGAGUGACGGUAAUGGGUAAAGAAGCACCGGCUAACUACGUG
rnacentral:rRNA from 1 species